AACCGCCGUAUGCGGAACCGCACGUACGGUGGUGUGAGAGGACGGAGGGGGCAACUUCUCCUCCUACUCGAU
rnacentral:ncRNA from 1 species